GAUGAACGCUAGCUACAGGCUUAACACAUGCAAGUCGAGGGGUAACGAGAGGAAAGCUUGCUUUCCUUGUCGGCGACCGGCGCACGGGUGAGUAACGCGUAUCCAACCUGCCCCCAACUAGGGAAUAACCUUGCGAAAGUAAGACUAAUACCCUAUAAUUUCCUCAGAUGUCAUCUGACGAGGAAUAAAGAUUUAUCGGUUGGGGAUGGGGAUGCGUCCGAUUAGCUUGUUGGCGGGGUAACGGCCCACCAAGGCAACGAUCAGUAGGGGUUCUGAGAGGAAGGUCCCCCACAUUGGAACUGAGACACGGUCCAAACUCCUACGGGAGGCAGCAGCGAGGAAUAUUGGUCAAUGGGCGGAAGCCUGAACCAGCCAAGUAGCGUGCAGGAUGACGGCCCUAUGGGUUGUAAACUGCUUUUAUACAGGAAUAAAGUUAGCCACGUGUGGUUAUUUGUAGGUACUGUAUGAAUAAGGACCGGCUAAUUCCGUGCCAGCCGCCGCUGUAA
rnacentral:rRNA from 1 species